CCUGUCUCAGGACGAACGCUGGCGGCGCGCCUAACACAUGCAAGUCGAACGGGGUUGAGAGGAGCUUGCUUUUCUUGACUUAGUGGCGAACGGGUGAGUAACGCGUGAGGAACCUGCCUCAAAGAGGGGGACAACAGUUGGAAACGACUGCUAAUACCGCAUAAGCCCACGGUUCUGCAUGGAACUGAGGGAAAAGGAGCAAUCCGCUUUGAGAUGGCCUCGCGUCCGAUUAGCUAGUUGGUGAGGUAACGGCCCACCAAGGCGACGAUCGGUAGCCGGACUGAGAGGUUGAACGGCCACAUUGGGACUGAGACACGGCCCAGACUCCUACGGGAGGCAGCAGUGGGGAAUAUUGCACAAUGGGGGAAACCCUGAUGCAGCGACGCCGCGUGGAGGAAGAAGGUCUUCGGAUUGUAAACUCCUGUUGUUGGGGAAAAAGAGGAUGGUACCCAACAAGGAAGUGACGGCUAACUACGUGCCAGCAGCCGCGGUAA
rnacentral:rRNA from 1 species